rnacentral:rRNA from 1 species
GACAGAGGGUGCAAACGUUGCUCGGAAUUACUGGGCGUAAAGGGCGUGUAGGCGGGAAGGCAAGUCGGGCGUGAAAGCCCCAGGCUCAACCUGGGGAACUGCACUCGAAACUGCCUUUCUUGAGUGCCGGAGAGGAAAGCGGAAUUCCUGGUGUAGAGGUGAAAUUCGUAGAUAUCAGGAGGAACACCAGUGGCGAAGGCGGCUUUCUGGACGGUAACUGACGCUGAGACGCGAAAGCGUGGGGAGCAAACAGG